rnacentral:pre_miRNA from 1 species
AUUCUACUCCCUCCGUUGCACAAUACAUGCCUUCUAUUUGUCAAAAUAUAUAUGUAUCUAGACAUGUCUUAGUAUAUAGGUNUCUAGACAUGUCUUAGUAUAUAGGUACAUCCAUUUUUGGACAAAUGGAAGUCAAGUAUUUUGGAACGGAGGGAGUACACA